rnacentral:rRNA from 1 species
GUGGGGAAUCUUGCGCAAUGGACGAAAGCCUGACGCAGCCAUGCCGCGUGAAUGAUGAAGGUCUUAGGAUUGUAAAAUUCUUUCACCGGGGACGAUAAUGACGGUACCCGGAGAAGAAGCUCCGGCUAACUUCGUGCCAGCAGCCGCGGUAAUACGAAGGGGGCUAGCGUUGCUCGGAAUUACUGGGCGUAAAGGGCGCGUAGGCGGACAGCUUAGUCAGAGGUGAAAGCCCAGGGCUCAACCUUGGAAUUGCCUUUGAUACUGGCUGUCUUGAGUUUGGGAGAGGUGAGUGGAACUCCGAGUGUAGAGGUGAAAUUCGUAGAUAUUCGGAAGAACACCAGUGGCGAAGGCGACUCACUGGCCCAAUACUGACGCUGAGGCGCGAAAGCGUGGGGAGCAAACAGGAUUAGAAACCCCUGUAGUCC